rnacentral:lncRNA from 1 species
GAAAGUGGUUGCCCUGGAGACAGGCAGACCCAUUAGGAAGCUCUGACAAAGAUCCAGGAGAGAGAAAAUGAGGAUAGUGGUUGGAGGAAUGAGCAGAUUCAAAGACAUUUUAGAGGUGGAACGGAUGGUCGGGAGACGCUCAUUCAGUGUAAAUGCUGAAGGAAAGGAAGAACCAAGGAGCGCUGUGGUUUCCAGCUUGGAUUUCUAUAUGGAUAGUGAAUAAUUAAUGAAGAUGUGGCGGGCGGGCAUAAUGGGGACUUAAGAGGGAGGUAGUUGUAGAUGGACGUGAUCAAUAUACAUUUGUUUAAAUGUGUAUAACUUUCAAAGAGUAAGAGAAUUAUUAUUUUAAUAGAUCAAGGUAUAAAAUACAAAAAAAAGUCAAAUGGGGGGGGGGGUUUGCUAAUGAAUUCAUAUGUGACCUGUUGAAUUUGAUGUAUCUUUUGGACUUGUAGGUGAAGAAGUCACAUGUGGUGAAUAUAUUAUCAUCAGAAUGCGGAGCAAUGAAAUGUAAACAGAUAGGAAUCGUCACUAAAGCUCCAACUGCAGCCUCCGGGUGCCAUAGCUUUUGCACCAUCCAUUUGCACCAUCUCUGCAGUUGCUCUCAAUCACUGCCACGAGUCUGGUGAUGCGCUAAGCUCGGGGCAGGAUCUCAAGGGCUUUGAGAUUAAUACCGAAGCACUGCAAUUUCUUGAGGAUUAUCCACCUAGGAGGAAAUGAUACGCUGGCCCAUCCAUAGUAGUCAAGGUAUGUUCAACAUCAAGAGAAGGUUUGCUGUGUAACAGGUAAGAACAGGUUUAAAAGUGUGGCUUUAUAUGAUAGCAAAGCACAAAUAUUCCUAAGUAUUACUGUAGUGUUCACAGUAGUCAAAAU